rnacentral:sRNA from 1 species
GCCCAGGGUUCCAUGGUCCCUACCUAGACCCCACGCGAUUCCUCACCUGAGACCCCGUCCCACACAGCCCUGGCUGGGGCAAACAGCCCCCUCCCCACUUCCUAUCUAAUUUGCAGGGAGAUCGACGACGUGAUCAGCGCAGACCUGCAGUCUCUCCAGGUGGGGACUGUUCCUGGAGGGGCGGGAUGGGGUGGGGGUCUUGGCCAGCGCUAAACUUUCGCCAUGCGGCAGGGCCCCUACCUGCCCCUGGAGCUGGGGUUGGAGCAGCUGUUUCAGGAGCUGGCUGGAGAGGAGGAAGAACUCAAUGCCUCUCAGCUCCAGGCCUUACUAAGCAUUGCCCUGGAGCCUGGUGAGUUGGCUGGGAUAGGGGCAGGAGGAGGGGUCUUAGCCAGGGGUCCUGCAACCAGAGCCGGUGCCACCCUAUGUCUAUGAACCCACCACGCUGCUGGGAGUUGGGCUCAGGAAGCCAGGGCUCAGCCUGGCAGCAUCUCCCUGCAGGGGAUCUUGUGUGGGCCCCGUGACCUGGGCCACGGCUGCUCGCAAGCUCCCCUUCCGCUGAAAGGCAAGGCUGCCUUGAGCACAGACUGGGAACCCCC